GAUACUCCUCGACGGGGGAUGAUCCUUGAGGGCGCGGCCUCUCUCCCUCUGUGAACUGAGAUGGCUCGUCACAUAUCUGCGUGGAUAUAAGCCUCUGCUUCAAAGACACAGCAGGAGGGAAACAGGAGAUGUGCAGAGCUGCCUGACAUCCUUGAUGAUGACAUCUUCAAACACUCCCCUGCACUCUGCAGACACACCCAGCACUCACUGCAGCUUCAAACAUUCUUCAUAU